rnacentral:rRNA from 1 species
CCUACGGGAGGCAGCAGUCGAGAAUCAUUCACAAUGGGGGAAACCCUGAUGGUGCGACGCCGCGUGGGGGAAUGAAGGUCUUCGGAUUGUAAACCCCUGUCAUGUGGGAGCAAAUUAAAAAGAUAGUACCACAAGAGGAAGAGACGGCUAACUCUGUGCCAGCAGCCGCGGUAAUACAGAGGUCUCAAGCGGUGUUCGGAAUCACUGGGCGUAAAGCGUGCGUAGGCUGUUUCGUCAGUCGGGUGUGAAAGGCGCGGGCUCAACCCGCGGACGGCACAUGAUACUGCGAGACUAGAGUUAUGGAGGGGGAACCGGAAUUCUCGGUGUAGCAGUGAAAUGCGUAGAUAUCGAGAGGAACACUCGUGGCGAAGGCGGGUUCCUGGACAUUAACUGACGCUGAGGCACGAAGGCCAGGGGAGCGAAAGGGAUUAGAUACCCUUGUAGUC